rnacentral:rRNA from 1 species
GGGGGCCCGCACAAGCGGCGGAGCAUGCGGAUUAAUUCNAUGCAACGCGAAGAACCUUACCAAGGCUUGACAUGUGCCAGACCGCCGUGGAAACACGGUUUCCCCUUUGGGGCUGGUUCACAGGUGGUGCAUGGUUGUCGUCAGCUCGUGUCGUGAGAUGUUGGGUUAAGUCCCGCAACGAGCGCAACCCUCGUUCCAUGUUGCCAGCGCGUAAAGGCGGGGACUCAUGGGAGACUGCCGGGGUCAACUCGGAGGAAGGUGGGGACGACGUCAAAUCAUCAUGCCCCUUAUGUCUUGGGCUUCACGCAUGCUACAAUGGCCGGUACAAUGGGUUGCGAUACUGUGAGGUGGAGCUAAUCCCAAAAAGCCGGUCUCAGUUCGGAUUGGGGUCUGCAACUCGACCCCAUGAAGUCGGAGUCGCUAGUAAUCGCAGAUCAGCAACGCUGCGGUGAAUACGUUCCCGGGCCUUGUACACACCGCCCGUCAAGUCACGAAAGUUGGUAACACCCGAAGCCGGUGGCCUAACCCCUUGUGGGAGGGAGCUGUCGAAGGUGGGACCGGCGAUUGGGACUAAGUCGUAACAAGGUAACCGAAGGGC